rnacentral:rRNA from 1 species
UACGUAGGGUGCGAGCGUUGUCCGGAAUUAUUGGGCGUAAAGGGCGCGUAGGCGGCGUGACAAGUCACUUGUGAAAUCUCCGGGCUUAACUCGGAACGGUCAAGUGAUACUGUCGGACUAGAGUACAGAAGGGGCAACUGGAAUUCUCGGUGUAGCGGUGAAAUGCGUAGAUAUCGAGAGGAACACCUGCGGCGAAGGCGGGUUGCUGGGCUGAUACUGACGCUGGAUGCGCGAAAAGCUAGGGGAGCGAAACGGG